GACCUAUCUUAGAUUUUUCAACAUCGGAAAUAUCGAUGAGAAAGUUUACAUUCCAAAAGAAAUGGUACGAAGAGUACAUAUAACUGGAAUAUUCAAUGUAACAACUGGAAGAUUACAUACGAGCAUCAUAGCAGCGAAGAGAAGGAAAGGAAAGAGUCUAGAGAUAGGGUCCAAAAGAAAGUUUCCACCUUGGAUUUGCUUGCCCUCCUUGCUCGAAGUUUUCAGCAAAUAUGAUCUGCACCACCUUUAUCCCGACUUGUUUGAGGUCGGACUCGCUACCUUGCCUGUGACAGUGGCAUCAUGUGAGCGCACACACAGCAAGGUCAAAAUAAUAAACAAUGAUUUGCGAGUUGUUAUGUCACCUGAUAGACUCGAGGACCUUGUCCAGAUUAGCAACGAACGAGAUCUAGCCAACAAUAUCGAACUUAGCAAAUUAGUGGAAAUAUUUAAGCUUGCAAAACCUCAUAAGCUUGUCAUUCAAGGAGAUCUACGAUAACAUAUAGCCAUUAUUAUUCUACCUAACAGUUAUUUCCAUUUGUAUUUAAAUAUAAAAUUAUGUUGGCUUCAAUUUUCCUGGAAGUAGCAAUUCCUUUAGGCAGCUGUCAAUCAAUGUAAUCAUAGUCAAUAGAAUAAGAAGGUUAGGGAACUCGAUGCAGACGUAAUAGACAUAUCUAUGUUUUUGUCUUGGUUUAUGCAAAAAAAAUGGUCGGUUCAUCGUCAUGUGUGUAUUGUAUUUUUAUUUCGCUAGAGUAACCAAUAGUUAUUAUGUUUUUGUUUAGCCAUUGUGUAAUAUUACGACCGGGUAAUUAAACCAGCACACUGCUAUUGGUAACUAAUAAUACACACAUGAC